AAAAAAAAAAAAAAAAAAAAAAAAAAAAAAAAAGAAAAGUCCCAGCUGGCUUUUGGCAUAAGACACAGUGCCGUAAUUAAUGUGAAAGCCUUGAUUACUUUUUUUCAAUCCCCCAACUUUGGCUCUUCUCAAAACAUGUGAGUCCCGGAGGGUUCUGCUCCAUGCUGACGUGGGCUGUGCUGCACCAGAGAUCCUGCACCUCUCUGCCUCAUUACUUCCUCUUUUGAAGGCUGACCACCAUCGGAGGCAAGCUCGCAUCGAUUGUGCAGCUCUGGCCACUGGAUUCUGGGCACGGAGCCCCAAUGCUGUGCCCCUGAGGGUUACUCUCCUGGUUUUAUUUUUUUCCCUUUUUUAAAAAGGCAAACCACCAUCUGCACGCACUGCUUCGGCAC